UACAGAGGGUGCGAGCGUUGUCCGGAAUCACUGGGCGUAAAGGGCGCGUAGGCGGCCUGGUAAGUAGGGGGUGAAAUCUUGCGGCUCAACUGCAAGGCUGCCUCCUAAACUGCCGGGCUGGAGCACGGUAGAGGCAGAUGGAAUUCCCGGUGUAGCGGUGGAAUGCGUAGAGAUCGGGGAGGAACACCAGUGGCGAAGGCGGCUUCCUGGACCUGUUCUGACGUGGAGG
rnacentral:rRNA from 1 species